rnacentral:rRNA from 2 species
AAGUAAGUGAAUAUGUUUGGGGUAACAGUUAAAUGAUUAAAUUCUUUAAAUAUAACAUUUUUAGGUGAAAUUUUAAUGUUAUUUUAAUAGUUCGUGUUGAAGCUGUGAAAUUUAUUUUAUAAACAAGGAUUAGAUACCCUUUUAUUUUAAAUGUAAAUAUUAACCUGGGUAAGUAMUACUUAUGUUCUUGAAACCCAAAGAAUUUGGCGGUAUUUUAUUCUUUUUAGAGGAACCUGUCCUGUAAUUGACAAUCCACGAUAGAUGAUUACUUGCUUUUGUUUUCAUUUUGUAUACCUCCGUCAUCAGAGUAUCUUUUUAGAGUAAAUAUUCAAACAAUACAAAAUAUAAAAUGUCAGGUCAAGGUGCAAUUUAUAGGCAAGUAGAGAUGGGUUACAAUAAAUGUUAUUUAUACGAAUUGAUAUUGUUAUUUUUAUCAUGAAGGUGGAUUUAAAAGUAAAAUUAAUUCUUUAUUAUUUUGAUUUUAGCUCUAAAAUAUGCACACAUCGCCCGUCGCUCUUAUUUUAAAAUAAGAUAAGUCGUAACAUAGUAGGUGUACUGGAAAGUGUACCUAGAAAGUAAACAAAUUAGAACUUGAUAGAAAGUAUUUCAUUUACACUGAA